ensembl:lncRNA
GUUAAAGAAAACAUUUUAAAAGAUAUUUCAGGGUUCUUUCUGUGAUACUCAAAUGUUAUACUUGCCUCUAUCCUCUCAUCAUCUGUUAUUCAAACUACUUCUCCUCAGUCUAAAUAUUUAAACCUUCAUUGAGAAAAAUAGUAGUUCUCCAAAAUGUACUUAGCUAUGAUUACUGUUACCAUUAAUUUUAGAAGAACAUAGAGAAAAUAUUUGGAUUUGGCUAGGGGAAUAAAUAUAGGAAUUAAUACAAAAGGAAAAUUCUGACUCUUUUGUUAAUAAGACAUACAAGAUACACAUGACGUCUCUUCAGAUCUUAAAGGGUUUUCUUCUAAUAGGCGAUUUUAAUGCUUAAUAUAUAUAAUCAUGUUCUUCACUACUAUAUAAUAAUGUAAAUUAUCAGAGUUUACUCUUAUUGCAAGGUUGAUAUGAGCCUAAGACUUGGGUCCACUUAAGAGACUUGUUUUCAUUGCAUUCAUUCCAAAUCAGCUAGAAUGAAAUUAUCCAUCAGUCUAUACAGCCAGUCCUGUGCAGCCCAGGGAAUAUGUGGUGAGUUCUCUCCUGGGUAGGAUGCAGGUUAACUGGGUCUCCCCAACCUCAGCAAUUUUUAAGGAUUCCCUGUUUCUGAUAGCUUUAAAUUAGAAGUGCUCAGCACCACGGGAGAAUGAGAGAGUCUGCAGUAUUAAACUGCUAUGUGUUUUCCCAAGCCUAGGUCUUGCUUUUAUUAUCUACCUGGGGUUUUUUGCUCUGGGUUUCACUUGUUUACCCAUAAAAGACAGUAUCAAGCAGAGACUAAGGUUUAUGCAACUGAAACUUAAAAUCAUGCAUGUAACUUAACAGAAGUAUAUCAACAUAAGAAAAGAAUUUUGAACCUCAGGAUUCCUGUGUACUUUUGUCACUGAAAGAAAUGUGCUCUUGGCUUUCAGAAUUUAGAGAAACCCAUUACAGACAUCAAUUCAAGGGGCUCAAAUGUGAAAUUAUCUGUAAAACACUAUGCUGGGUUUUAUGAAAAUCACAAAAUGAGUCUGUAUUCAUUAUAUGGUCAUUACUUCCAGCCAAAGGUUUUUUUUUUUUGUAGCAUACACUUUAGCAAAUUUUUCCUGAUACUUGUUUCAGGCAUCGUACUUAAAUGAAUACAUCAUUGAAUAUAAUUCUCAUAAUAACUAUUUAGUGGCACUGUUAUUCACAUAAGAAUAAAAAGGAGGCAAAAAAGGUUAAAUGGCUCACCAGAUGCCUUAGCUUGUAGCAUAAAAGGUUUUCGCUAAAGUGUAUGUGGGCAUUAAGCCUGUACUUUUAGAUACGAAGUUUUUUAGCUUUAGGGCCCUGAUUAUUGGGUUGGAAAGGCAAGAAUGAAGAGGCUGAACUAAAAUAUAGAUAAAUGCGAAAAAAUGAGAAAAUAGAGUGGAAACAUUGAUAAGGAGCAAUUAAUUUGGUAUUAAGUAGGAAGAGCUGCAAAAUAUUGGAGAAAAGUCAGUGUUUUGUGUUUGACCUUGAUGUGUGAAUAGAAUUGCUGUGGCUACAAAUGUUGUACCUGGGAGCAAUGUUAGUUGAAGACAGGACAGAAAGAGAGAAGUUCACAGGCUAUUAGAAUCUGAUCAUGGCAUGACCAAAGACAUCAGGAAAUAAAACUUACACAUGGCUUCUCCCAAAAAUGAUGAGUAAGCAGGAGUGCGUAUGUAGAGGAGGAUGGCCUAUAUCCCUGUUUUGUUCAAUGGUUCUGGAGUGCUGAAUGCCAAGUUAAACAUAAGCAAUACAUUUUUGAAAGGCCCUUUUGAAGUUCAGUUGUGUGUAUAUCAAUAGUCACAAUAAAUAGAAUCAAAUAAUAGGUGACUAGGUUUUAAUUUUUGGCAACCUUUCCCUCUAUUUUAGGGAACUCCCCGCCAUAGAGAGAAUCUGAGAAAGAAGGUGACAGAGUAAGAAAAAUUAAGACAUAGGUUAUGUGGUGGCGCCUCAAUCAAGACAGGGUUCAUUCUUCAUGUUCCAAAUGCCGGGGACUUUGAGGAGCAAUUUGCUGCCAGAACUGUGCUUUUCCUCUAAAAGGAGCUGUUCAUGUUUGAGCAUGCUUUGCCCUUAAUUGCCCGGGGAUUUUUAGAUAGCCCUGUCUUCAGUGGUCUGAAACAAGUCGCAAUGUAAGUAAUUAAAGCGCUGAGCAGCAGACGUCUAUAAACGGCUGUUUUGCUUCCAUGUGUGAUAUUUAACUAAUUGCUCAUUGCUGUGAAAACCUUUCACUUCAUAGAUGUCAUGACUUUAAAGUGAAUAAACAUCGCUUUUGUAUGUAUUAAAAUAGUGUAGUAUAAUAAUGACUACUACAGCUUCCAAGUACUCAGAAACACUAUAUGCUGUAUAGGUUGAUUGCAGACGAUUGAGAUUAUCAUCCAUGCCUUAAAAACCUGUAACAGACAUUAGACUUCUACGGAGAAACUAUAGGAUGUGGUAGGUGAAGUGGGUUAGCUGGAUUGAGAGACUUAGACCCUAGUACACUCCUGCCUACUUUUACUUCUAUGGUCUUAUUGCCGCAUCCAGAAAGUUAGGGAUUACAUUAGAUGACUGUAAAUAGACUUUUCAACAGAAUGUUUCCAUGGGAGAUAAAACAGGAGAUGUGUAUGGAGUGAGAUGAAUGCCUUGUAUCAUUCAAACAUUGUCAUCUAGAUAUGUACUCUGCUAUUUGGAAGAUAUUUUUUGGAAAAAAAAAUUAAAUAGAUGUUUCUUUGGCCCUUAAGUUUUGACACAUUGUUAAAACCUUUCCCUGAACUUGAACGUUCAAAUGAUAUUCUUGGCCAGUCUACCAAAUGCUGCGUUAGGGAAGACUUUUGCUUGCUGGACCUGUGUUUUUUGAAAAAUAUACUCAAGAAAUGUGAUGUAUGAACUUGUUCUGAAGUUUACAUUAGGCAUCAUGAACUCUGUACCUGCUAUUUAUUUUUAUCAUGGUCCUUUCCCUUGAAAUGCCGUCGGCAGCUUUUCUCCUCUCUGCAGUUGAAUGCCUGGUAAUAAUAACAUCCCCCAAAAUACAACCACAAUGAGUAAAUAGCAAUAGUUCUUUUAACUUUCUCUCAAAGGAAAAUUUGAUGCCUAGCAAGACAUUUUCUUCUUCCUCAGGCAUUUAAAAAUGACCUGAGUCUACAGACACAAUCUGGUAUCAUCUCUGCCUAUAAUAGAGAUGUCAGUAUUAGAAAGUGUGCUUUUCAC